ACAGGUAAAACCAUGAAUGGCUCUUCACUACACAGUAAGAAAAAAAACUUAUAAUAAUAAAAAGUAUGGUAUUCAUGAAAAACAGUAACCUAAACACAUUUAGUAUGGAGAUAAAUGCAAAAAUUACCGUAGCUUCAUAACGAACAAUAAUUCUGUUAUUAUAUUCCAUUAUUUCUGUAACAGUUAAUACAGGCUUGAGCCCUGAUUCACUGUGGAUGUCUGAUGGCAAGUUGGAUGGAGUGAUUUUUACAAUGGCAACUCACAGACUUAACACGCUCCAACUCACGCGGACACCUUGUUGUAAAACGCUUGUUUAAUAUAUUGCUUCUCCACACAAAUCCACUUUUCCUUAAUUCUGCUGCACCAGCUGUGGAAACCUGACCUGGUGAGGACCCUCUCCUCCAUCCUCAACCAUUGAACCUCUUAUCACACUCGGACGAGGACAAACCAGCCUGUGAUCUAGACUCCUAGAUCCAACCCUGGUCCACGAUCAUUCCCACACCUGUGUCUCAUCACAGUCCAUCACCUGUGUCUGCACCCUGCCUACUGCUAAUAUUAUGGAUUUCUGUUCUGGAGAGAUAUGCCAUUCACAACAAUCUCUACAUAAUAUCAAGCUCAAAUAAUUUAGUCCUGCCUAACAGUUUUCCUGAUUUGUUACUGUUCACAAUGUAGCACAGUCUCGUCUUUGUGCAUUCAGUUGUUAAAAUAUGUCCUUAUUAUUUGAUUGUAUCUCAAGUUUAUUAUUUAAAAGCAAAUUCACAAUCUUUCACGAGAAGAGAUAAUAGGUGUGUCUGACUUGAAGCAGUGCUGUGCAGACCGAUCGAAGUAUGACAUCACAGUACCACGAGAGCAAUAAGACUGUAAGACAGCUUCUUAUGCUUUUG